AUGAAUUGGAGUUCUCAAUAGAAUGCAGCACCUCGCUCAUGGCCCGUGACUGGGUUAAUUAGGUGAUUCUUGUUCGUUCACAAACCUCCUUUGAAGAGCGCCGAGACCUCUCCAUUGUUCCAACCUGCAAGACAAGAACAGUCUUUGCCAUUGGAUGUGAUUGCACAUCCCUUUUAGUCAAGACCUAUCAAAAGAAGCCACUGCAGCCUCUCUGGAAAGGUCCCUUCCUGGUUUUGCUGACUACUCCAACAGCUAUCAAAGUUGCUGAGGUCGACUCUUGGAUCCCCUACUCCAGGUGUAAAAGAUACAGCCCAGAAAAAGAAGCAGCCUGCAAUGUAGCAAAGAAAGAAGAAGCUGGGGCAACCAAGGCCUCUGAAGAAGGGGUAACCAAGACCCCUGACGACGAGUGAUUAAUUCAGACCCUUCCUGGUUUGAAACUCAGACUAACCAGAAAUAGUACAAUCCCACUAUCUGAAUGAGUGAAACUGAAAGAUUUGUCUUCCUUACUCUUAUUUUCAUUGUCUCACUCCUCUGUUGAUAUCUUGAGUAACAUUCCUCAAUAUGUCUCCUUUGUUUUGUGUCACACUUUUGACCAUGCUCUCUUACUCUAUUUCCCAAUAUGUGUCUCCUGGUCAGUGUGUUUCUUCUAACCCUUUUACUAAAUACUCCUGUUCUGGUAACCUUGUAUCUGAGGCAGUUUUCCUUCCCACUACUAGCUGCCCAACAAGUAAUUAUACUCAAAGUUCGUAUUAAAGGUCCUAAGGGGUUUGUUAUCCAGUCUAUUUGCAUAGCCCCCACUAGUGAAUGUGGUUUGAAAAUGAUGAAGUGGGUAUCUGAGAAAUGAAAGUCACCCCUUCUUGCUUGGCGUUCCCCUGUAACUACCUCUGCCACAACCCCUAUUUACCCCCAUGAUUCUUUCCCCAUUUACUUAAUGCCCAAUUGUCCACAGAGAACUAUUCUUUAGGUGAAUGGGGACUAAACUCACACGUUGUCCUACUCCAAACUAUAGCCCAUCACACUGAGGGCAAUUGUUAUAUUUGUGCUCGCAUUCCCACUCAUCAUAAGGGGGUAUUCCUCUUAUGGGUAUUAAUGUUGAUUUGUUUACCAUUGAUUUGUCUACUUUUAUUCCUCCAGGUACACCAUUGUUCAACCUAUCAGGUAAUUUUAUCUCUUUGGGAGGCA